GGAGGCUCCUAUCGAAGCCGUUGUUGCUCUUUUUGUAGCAUUGAACGGUCAAAAGGAAGCCAACAGAAAAACUUUCACUGACGGUCGCUGCUCAGUUACCAAAAAUAACUGAUACAGCAACAAUUUGGGGGAAGGACAUUU